rnacentral:rRNA from 1 species
UACGGGGGGGGCAAGCGUUGUUCGGAAUUACUGGGCGUAAAGGGCUCGUAGGCGGCCAACUAAGUCGGAUGUGAAAUCCCCAGGCUCAACUUGGGAACUGCAUCCGAUACUGGAUGGCUUGAAUUCGGGAGAGGGAUGCAGAAUUCCAGGUGUAGCGGUGAAAUGCGUAGAUAUCUGGAGGAACACCGGUGGCGAAGGCGGUUCUCUGGGCAUGAUCUGACGCUGAGGAGCGAAAGUGUGGGGAGCGAACAGG